ensembl:lncRNA
AGGAAGGAAGGCAAAGAUGGAUGAGGAUCUCCAGAACUUUUGGGAUGAAGAAAAAGGAAGCUGAGUUAGCUGAUAUGGUAUAUUCUGCUGAGAUCACCUGCCAAGGGUGAGGGGCUUGGGCUGAAGAAGCCUUUAGCUAAUCAAAACCUCCUGAAGUUUAAAGAGAUUGGAAUCCAGUUGGCAUGCUAUUAUCGCUUCAUCUCCGACUGAGGCAGCCAUUCAUGGUAACUCUCAGUCUUGAGGAUUCAACUUUGGCAGACAAGGGUCUCACAUUAACAACUGCAUUUUGCUAAAGUCAUGGUACAUGGGAACAAGGAGUUGUUGGCAGUAUGGCCCAUCCCCAGGUACACAGCUGUACACUCUUCAUUGUGGGUCCCUCCAGCUGCGGCACGUGGGACGCCGCCUCAGCGUGGCCCGACGAGCAGCGCCCUGUCCGCGCCCAGGAUCCGAACCAACGGAACACUGGGCCGCCUGCAGCAGAGCGCGCAAACCCAAUCACUCAGCCACGGGGCCAGCCGCCUGAAUCCAUUACUUUUUAAGCCAACUACACUGUUGCUUGGAACAGAGACAAGAUCCCAGGUUCUAGCUGUGACCGGUUUUGGCUGAUGAGAUAAAAGUGAAAGUGUUGUGUAGGAAUUCUGGGAAGCUUCCUUAAAAGAAAGGAGAAGGGUGUCUAUUUUUGCUCUUCUGCUUCUUCCCACUGCUUUAAUGGAAUAUAACUGUGAUGGCAGUCACUCCAGUAGCCAUCUUGGGCCACAAGAACCUUCUCUUCAAACUUCAUCCUGCAGUUCUCCCCUGCAGCAGUUACUGCGGGUCUGCUUCCACAUUACUGGUAGACAUCCCCGGGCUCUACACACCUGCCCACUCACCACAGAGCAGUAAGACAUAAAAGUUAAGAGAAUGGCCUUUGGAGUAAGACCAAAGCUGGAACUCAGGUCCUACCAAUAGGUGGUUAUGGGUUACCAUUACUCAGCUUUGGUUUCCUCAUCUGUCAAUUGGGGAGGAUGAUGCAAAUGAUAGCUCAUGUUUGCACCAGGCGCUAAGUGCAUCAGAUGGAUACUCUCUCCUAAAAGCCCAUUCUCUGCUUCUUCCUUAAUCCACUUUCUGCCCAGUGAAUAUUCCAAGAAGAACUGGACAGAGAUAAAUCAUUUUGCCUUGGAAAUUUAUCAGGUUGAAAAAAAUAAACAAGCUGAUGCCCUCCAAAACUCAGAAAAUCACGUUAGCCUAAGGAAAACGAAGAAGUAAUAACAAUACGAUGACACUUCCAUUCUGGCAAGGCGACCCCAUGUAUGGUAGUGCAGCUGUGGAGAGUGCCGUGGUCUGGAAUCAUUCAAAGAAGCAUCUUUGGCAAUGGGAGCCUCAGUGAAACUCCACAACAAAAAACUCAGGCGAUCAGACUCAUUUGCUAGCUCCCAUGUUCUGGUCAGCCUUUCUACCGUCCUUGGUCUGGCUUCACACACUGGCAUACCAACCUAGUAGGAUUCUGCCACCCUGAGACAAGACGGAUUUGAUGUUAGGAUGACCUUGAAAGACGUCCUUCUGUUAACAAGCCUGCCAGGUUACAGACAUCCUUGGUUACAGCUCAACCAGUGUGGCUUGGAAAAGUCUCCAACCAGGAUGACUGGGCAUGAAUCAGUGGGCGAUUCCUGCAGUCAAAAGAUAGGGUCCGUGCUCCUCCAAAGGAGAAAACAAGUCGUUUAAUCUGCAGGGACAAGAUAGAAUAUGUAAAGGCCCAUUGGCAAAAUCUUGGUCUCUGUCAAAUUUAAAAUUAGAUGGGUCACUGAUAGAGAGAUGAAUGGAUCUCUCCAGAUAUCAAUAAACAUAAACCAACAGGACUGUG